GGCGCUAUAGCCAAGUGGUUACGGCGACAGAUUUGAAUCAGAAUGGCAAGAGUUCAUUAUCUGUUCCUCUUUGAGGGCGCAGGUUCGAACCCUGCUGGCGUCG